rnacentral:rRNA from 1 species
AAGUCUGGUGCCAGCAGCCGCGGUAAUUCCAGCUCCAAUAGCGUAUAUUAAAAUUGUUGCGUCUAAAAAGCUCGUAGUUUGAAAACUUGCCUUGACUUACAACAGGUCCAUUGGGCCACCGUUUGUUGAGUGCAAAUAUAGAUGACUGUUUUUGCCGGCUUCAUUGUCGGCUUAUAAGAGUUAUCAAAUAUCACUUUGAUUAAAUUAGAGUGCUCAAAGCAAGUGUGUUACUUGGAUAUAAAUGCAUGGAAUGAUGGAAUAUGUUGUUGUUCUAUUUGUCGGUUUUUGAACGAUGAAAUGAUUGAAAGGAACCGUUGGGGGCAUUCGUAUUGUUGUGAGAGAGGUGAAAUUCUUAGACCACAGCAAGACGAACUACUGCGAAAGCAUUUGCCAAGAAUGUUUUCAUUGAUCAAGAACGAAAGUUAGAGGUUCGAAGGCGAUCAGAUACCGCCCUAGUUCUAACCAUAA